GGCAGGAUAGCUCAGCGGUAGAGCAACGGAUUCAUAACCCGUAGGUCGUGGGUUCGAACCCCACUCCUGCCA
rnacentral:tRNA from 1 species